rnacentral:rRNA from 1 species
UUCCAGACUCCUACGGGAGGCAGCAGUGGGGAAUAUUGCACAAUGGGGGAAACCCUGAUGCAGCGACGCCGCGUGAGUGAAGAAGUAUCUCGGUACGUAAAGCUCUAUCAGCAGGGAAGAAAAUGACGGUACCUGAGUAAGAAGCCCCGGCUAACUACGUGCCAGCAGCCGCGGUAAUACGUAUGGAGCAAGCGUUAUCCGGAAUUACUGGGUGUAAAGGGAGCGUAGACGGAUGUGCAAGUCUGAUGUGAAAGGCGGGGGCUCAACCCCUGGACUGCAUUGGAAACUGUAAAUCUUGAGUGCCGGAGAGGUAAGCGGAAUUCCUAGUGUAGCGGUGAAAUGCGUAGAUAUUAGGAGGAACACCAGUGGCGAAGGCGGCUUACUGGACUGUAACUGACGUUGAGGCUCGAAAGCGUGGGGAGCAAACAGGAUUAGAUACCCCGGUAC